UCAGCUCGUACCACGUCAUCGACUGGUGCUCCUG
rnacentral:sRNA from 1 species